rnacentral:rRNA from 1 species
AUUGAACGCUGGCGGCAGGCUUAACACAUGCAAGUCGAACGAUGAAACUCUAGCUUGCUAGAGAUGAUUAGUGGCGGACGGGUGAGUAACAUUUAGGAAUCUGCCUAGUAGUGGGGGAUAGCUCGGGGAAACUCGAAUUAAUACCGCAUACGACCUACGGGUGAAAGGGGGCGCAAGCUCUUGCUAUUAGAUGAGCCUAAAUCAGAUUAGCUAGUUGGUGGGGUAAAGGCCUACCAAGGCGACGAUCUGUAACUGGUCUGAGAGGAUGAUCAGUCACACCGGAACUGAGACACGGUCCGGACUCCUACGGGAGGCAGCAGUGGGGAAUAUUGGACAAUGGGGGCAACCCUGAUCCAGCCAUGCCGCGUGUGUGAAGAAGGCCUUUUGGUUGUAAAGCACUUUAAGCAGGGAGGAGAGGCUAAUGGUUAAUACCCAUUAGAUUAGACGUUACCUGCAGAAUAAGCACCGGCUAACUCUGUGCCAGCAGCCGCGGUAAUACAGAGGGUGCGAGCGUUAAUCGGAAUUACUGGGCGUAAAGCUAGUGUAGGUGGCUCAUUAAGUCACAUGUGAAAUCCCCGGGCUUAACCUGGGAACUGCAUGUGAUACUGGUGGUGCUAGAAUAUGUGAGAGGGAAGUAGAAUUCCAGGUGUAGCGGUGAAAUGCGUAGAGAUCUGGAGGAAUACCGAUGGCGAAGGCAGCUUCCUGGCAUAAUAUUGACACUGAGAUUC